rnacentral:rRNA from 1 species
UUGUUGGUGAGGUAAAGGCUUACCAAGGCUUCGAUCAGUAGCUGGUCUGAGAGGACGACCAGCCACACUGGGACCGAGACACGGCCCAGACUCCUACGGGAGGCAGCAGUGGGGAAUUUUGGACAAUGGGGGAAACCCUGAUCCAGCCAUGCCGCGUGAGUGAAGAAGGCCUUCGGGUUGUAAAGCUCUUUCAGCCGGAACGAAACGGUUACGAUUAAUACCUGUAACUACUGACGGUACCGGAAGAAGAAGCACCGGCUAACUACGUGCCAGCAGCCGCGGUAAUACGUAGGGUGCGAGCGUUAAUCGGAAUUACUGGGCGUAAAGCGUGCGCAGGUGGUUUUGUAAGUCAGAUGUGAAAUCCCCGGGCUUAACCUGGGAACUGCGUUUGAAACUACAAGGCUAGAGUGUGGCAGAGGGGGGUGGAAUUCCGCGUGUAGCAGUGAAAUGCGUAGAGAUGUGGAGGAACACCGAUGGCGAAGGCAGCCCCCUGGGUCAACACUGACGCUCAGGCACGAAAGCAUGGGGAGCAAACAGGAUUAGAUACCCUGGUAGUCCAUGCCCUAAACGAUGUCAACUAGUUGUCGGGUCUUAACGGGCUUGGUAACGUAGCUAACGCGUGAAGUUGACCGCCUGGGGAGUACGAUCGCAAGAUUAAAACUCAAAGGAAUUGACGGGGACCCGCACAAGCGGUGGAUUAUGUGGAUUAAUUCGAUGCAACGCGAAAAACCUUACCUACCCUUGACAUGUAUUGGAGCCCGCAGAGAUGUGGGUGUGCCCGAAAGGGAACGAUAACACAGGUGCUGCAUGGCUGUCGUCAGCUCGUGUCGUGAGAUGUUGGGUUAAGUCCCGCAACGAGCGCAACCCUUGUCAUUAAUUGCCAUCAUUUAGUUGGGCACUUUAAUGAGACCGCCGG